rnacentral:rRNA from 1 species
AUUGAACGCUGGCGGCAGGCCUAACACAUGCAAGUCGAGCGGAUGAAGGGAGCUUGCUCCUGGAUUCAGCGGCGGACGGGUGAGUAAUGCCUAGGAAUCUGCCUGGUAGUGGGGGAUAACGUCCGGAAACGGGCGCUAAUACCGCAUACGUCCUGAGGGAGAAAGUGGGGGAUCUUCGGACCUCACGCUAUCAGAUGAGCCUAGGUCGGAUUAGCUAGUUGGUGGGGUAAAGGCCUACCAGGGCGACGAUCCGUAACUGGUCUGAGAGGAUGAUCAGUCACACUGGAACUGAGACACGGUCCAGACUCCUACGGGAGGCAGCAGUGGGGAAUAUUGGACAAUGGGCGAAAGCCUGAUCCAGCCAUGCCGCGUGUGUGAAGAAGGUCUUCGGAUUGUAAAGCACUUUAAGUUGGGAGGAAGGGCAGUAAGUUAAUACCUUGCUGUUUUGACGUUACCAACAGAAUAAGCACCAGCUAACUUCGUG